UACGUAGGGGGCGAGCGUUGUCCGGAAUCAUUGGGCGUAAAGCGCGUGUAGGCGGCUCGAUAAGUCCGGUGUGAAACCUUGGGGCUCAACCCCAAGCCUGCACUGGAUACUGCCGAGCUAGAGUCCGGGAGGGGAGAGCGGAAUCCUAGUGUAGCGGUGAAAUGCGCAGAUAUUAGGAAGAACACCGGUGGCGAAGGCGGCUCUCGUGGAACGGUACUGACGCUGA
rnacentral:rRNA from 1 species